UACGAAGGGGGCUAGCGUUGCUCGGAAUCACUGGGCGUAAAGCGCACGUAGGCGGCUUGUUAAGUCAGGGGUGAAAUCCUGGAGCUCAACUCCAGAACUGCCUUUGAUACUGGCGAGCUUGAGUUCGGGAGAGGUGAGUGGAACUGCGAGUGUAGAGGUGAAAUUCGUAGAUAUUCGCAAGAACACCGGUGGCGAAGGCGGGUCUCUGGGCCGAUACUGACGCUGAGGAGCGAAAGCGUGGGGAGCGAACAGG
rnacentral:rRNA from 1 species